UCUUCCCAUUCCGAACAGAGAAGUUAAGCCUAAUCACGCCGAUGGUACUGCAAUUAUGUGGGAGAGUAGGUCGCCGCCGUUU
rnacentral:rRNA from 1 species